GCGGAGAAUGCUUGCUCGUGUGUCCGAGCCUAUUUUUCUGAUCUUCACAAAACCCUUUGUUGGCAGGAGGAAAUGGCUCUCAGUGUUGUUGACGCUCAUGUGAGGGAGAAGUUGAUUUGGUUUAGACAGCAGCAAGAAGACAUGACCAUCCUGUUGUCGCAGGUUUGAACAGCUUGCCUUCAUUGAGAAAAGACUUUACAGCAGGAUGACUGCAGAGUAGUGUUGGCCAAACAGGAAAUUACAAGACUUCUAGAGACAUUACAAAAACAACAGCAGCAAUUUACAGAACUGGCAGAUCACAUCCAGCUGGAUGCUAGCAUACCUGUCACCUUUACAAAGGACAACAGGGU